CCUACGGGGGGCAGCAGUGGGGAAUAUUGCACAAUGGGCGCAAGCCUGAUGCAGCCAUGCCGCGUGUGUGAAGAAGGCCUUCGGGUUGUAAAGCACUUUCAGCGGGGAGGAAGGCGGUGAGGUUAAUAACCUCAUCGAUUGACGUUACCCGCAGAAGAAGCAACGGCUAACUCCGUGCCAGCAGCCGCGGUAAUACGGAGGGUGCAAGCGUUAAUCGGAAUUACUGGGCGUAAAGCGCACGCAGGCGGUCUGUCAAGUCGGAUGUGAAAUCCCCGGGCUCAACCGGGGAACUGCAUUCGAAACUGGCAGGCUAGAGUCUUGUAGAGGGGGGUAGAAUUCCAGGUGUAGCGGUGAAAUGCGUAGAGAUCUGGAGGAAUACCGGUGGCGAAGGCGGCCCCCUGGACAAAGACUGACGCUCAGGUGCGAAAGCGUGGGGAGCAAACAGGAUUAGAUACCCGGGUAGUC
rnacentral:rRNA from 1 species